UGCGCACUUCGUCCUUCCUCAUUCGUCGCUCGUCUGUUGGAAGAGUCGAUGGUGCAUGAUGGAGAUGGAGGGACACAUCGCGUGGUCAACGUGGAGCGCUGUAUGUGGAAAUCUGUUCUCAGGAUGCCAGACAAAUCUAGAGACUUGAACAAACAUUAACAUGGAGAUAGACCCCUCAAAUAAACUUGGACCACAAGGAGAGGUGGUGGUGGUGAUGUCCUUGUGUUCGGAUGUUGGUUCUUGGCUCAGUUGCAGGCAGUCGUCUUCAACAGGCUAAAUGAAGGCAUGGGCACAUCGCUGAAGGAUGCAUUGCUGAUGGACUCCACGGCUUUGCUGAGCAUGUGGGAUUGUGACUAGUCGUGUUGCAGAGGAUUGUCAACAUGGUUUAAUCAAAGUCUGGGGCUUCAUUUUCUUAACAAUUGACAAUAAGGGAGGAGGAAUCUGUUCUUGAACUGGUAAGUAUCUGCAUACCAUUAAGUGCCAUAGCAUUUAUAGAAAAUGUCUUUUUAUGCUGUAGCUGGAGGCUAGUGACCAUUUUACCAGUGAUGACAGAUUCUGCCAAAUGAUUUAAUGAUUAUAACCCUUACCGUUCCAUUUUCUCUGAGGUUGUAUGGUCAAUAUUUACUUUUGAGUUUUGUCAGUUUUAUUUCUUUAUAUAUUUUUAAUUCAUGAUAUCUCUUGCAGCUGUCACGAGCGAGCAUGGUGCUGAGUCAGGAGGCUGCAGGGGGAGAAAUGGUGGUGCUAAAUUUAGACUCAUGUCUGGCUGUAGGUGAAAUAAUGGGAACUGUUUAAAAGAUCAUACAGCAAAAAGUUCCUCGAGUUUGUAAUAUGAAGAUUUAUGUGCCAUUUUUUGAAUAUGACCUUGUAUGAUUUUGAUUUUGCAUUUAUUUUGUAACAUUGCAAUAAUAAAGUCUUGUCUGAUUA